rnacentral:rRNA from 1 species
CCUACGGGGGGCAGCAGUGGGGAAUCUUGCGCCAAUGCGCGAAAGCGUGACGCAGCGACGCCGCGUGGGGGAUGAAGGCCUUCGGGUUGUAAACCCCUUUCGGCAGGGACGAAGCGAAAGUGACGGUACCUGCAGAAGAAGCUCCGGCUAACUACGUGCCAGCAGCCGCGGUAACACGUAGGGAGCGAGCGUUGUCCGGAUUCAUUGGGCGUAAAGCGCGCGUAGGCGGUCGUGCAAGUCGGUCGUGAAAUCCCGGGCCUCAACCCCGCGAACCGCGUCCGAUACUGCACGACUGGAGGCAGGUAGGGGAGAUCGAAAUUCCUGGUGUAGCGGUAAAAUGCGCAGAUAUCAGGAGGAACACCGGUGGCGAGGGCGGAUCUCGGGGCCUGUCCUGACGCUGAGGCGCGACAGCGGGGGGAGCAAACCGGAUUAGAUCCCCGGGUAGU